UCCGUAGGUGGGCAGCUCAGUCAGUGGUGAAAGUUUGCAGCUCAACUGUAAAAUUGCCAUUGAUACUGGUUGUCUUGAAUUAAUGUGAAGUGGUUAGAAUAUGUAGUGUAGCGGUGAAAUGCAUAGAUAUUACAUGGAAUACCAAUUGCGAAGGCAGAUCACUAACAUUAUAUUGACGCUGAUGGACGAAAGCGUGGGGAGCGAACAGGAUUAGAUACCCUGGUAGUCC
rnacentral:rRNA from 1 species